AAAGCGUGCGUAGGCGGCUUUUUAAGUCGGAUGUGAAAUCCCCGAGCUUAACUUGGGAAUUGCAUUCGAUACUGGGAAGCUAGAGUAUGGGAGAGGAUGGUAGAAUUCCAGGUGUAGCGGUGAAAUGCGUAGAGAUCUGGAGGAAUACCGAUGGCGAAGGCAGCCAUCUGGCCUAAUACUGACGCUGAGGUACGAAAGCAUGGGGAGCAAACAGGAUUAGAUACCCGUGU
rnacentral:rRNA from 1 species